rnacentral:rRNA from 1 species
UACGUAGGGUCCGAGCGUUGUCCGGAAUUAUUGGGCGUAAAGGGCUCGUAGGCGGUUUGUCGCGUCGGGAGUGAAAACUCAGGGCUCAACCCUGAGCGUGCUUCCGAUACGGGCAGACUAGAGGUAUGCAGGGGAGAACGGAAUUCCUGGUGUAGCGGUGGAAUGCGCAGAUAUCAGGAGGAACACCGGUGGCGAAGGCGGUUCUCUGGACAGUUCCUGACGCUGAGGCACGAAGGCCAGGGGAGCAAACGGG